CACGUAGGGGGCGAGCGUUGUCCGGAUUUAUUGGGCGUAAAGGGCUCGUAGGCGGCUCAGUAAGUCGGGUGUGAAACCUCCAGGCUCGACCUGGAGACGCCACUCGAUACUGCUGUGGCUAGAGUCCGGUAGGGGAGCAUGGAAUUCCUGGUGUAGCGGUGAAAUGCGCAGAUAUCAGGAGGAACACCAGUGGCGAAGGCGGUGCUCUGGGCCGGAACUGACGCUGAUGAGCGAAAGCGUGGGGAGCAAACAGG
rnacentral:rRNA from 1 species